UGGGGAAUUUUGGACAAUGGGCGAAAGCCUGAUCCAGCAAUGCCGCGUGUGUGAAGAAGGCCUUCGGGUUGUAAAGCACUUUUGUCCGGAAAGAAAUGGCUCUGGUUAAUACCUGGGGUCGAUGACGGUACCGGAAGAAUAAGGACCGGCUAACUACGUGCCAGCAGCCGCGGUAAUACGUAGGGUCCAAGCGUUAAUCGGAAUUACUGGGCGUAAAGCGUGCGCAGGCGGUUGUGCAAGACCGAUGUGAAAUCCCCGAGCUUAACUUGGGAAUUGCAUUGGUGACUGCACGGCUAGAGUGUGUCAGAGGGGGGUAGAAUUCCACGUGUAGCAGUGAAAUGCGUAGAGAUGUGGAGGAAUACCGAUGGCGAAGGCAGCCCCCUGGGAUAACACUGACGCUCAUGCGCGAAAGCGUGGGGAGCAAACAGGAUUAGAUACCCUGGUAGUCCACGCCCUAAACGAUGUCAACUAGUUGUUGGGGGAUUCAUUUUCCCUUGAGUAACGUAGCUAACGCGUGAAGUUGACCGCCUGGGGAGUACGGUCGCAAGAUUAAAACUCAAAGGAA
rnacentral:rRNA from 1 species